rnacentral:rRNA from 1 species
AGUCACUGACAUUAGAUACCCCUGUAGUCCUAGGCGUAAAUGAUGCGAGUUAAGUGUGGGGGGCAUCUACGAGAUGGCCCUGUGCUGUAGGGUAGCCGUUAAACUCGCUGCCUGGGGAGUACGGUCGCAAGGCUGAAACUUAAAGGAAUUGGCGGGGGAGCACCGCAACGGGAGGAGCGUGCGGUUCAAUUGGAUUCAACGCCGGACAACUCACCAGGAGCGACGGUUACAUGAAGGCCAGGCUGAUGACCUUGCCUGAUUUUCCG